ACAUUAGUCUAUUUCACAGGGCUCCAUGUCAGAGCAGGCUGUCACCUCAAGCCAUUGUCUGGCUUCUGAGCCAGGAAGCUAUUAAGUACUGAAGUGGAUUGCAAGUAA
ensembl:snoRNA